UGUGGUGGCUACAUUUUAUUUUUCUUCAAAAAGGUUAGUUAGAUUCAUAAAGAUUAAGCAUUAAAGAAUAGGGCAAAAUAGAUAGAGCAUAAAAUCAGCAUAUAGAGCGCAAAGUUAGCCUAGGCCCAACCCCAUUAUAUGGAGAAGUCUCAAACCAACCAACAACACCCAAACCUCAGAAAAAAAAAAGGCCCAAAGGCUAAACCAUUGAAAACCUAAGCUAUGGUAGAGCCUCGACCCAAAGAAGCAGGUCCUAAACACCAUAGCAGCUUUCAAGCUGAAAUUGAGCCAACGAGAACCUUGGCCACCAGACACAGCACCAUGUUGAGUAGCCACCAUUGAAGCAAUGUUGAGACCAAGGGAAGCAAGAGUAGAAGAGACCUCAUGCUGAAAGUUUUCAUGUCGAAGAACCCAACAUAUCGAGUUUAGAGGGACCUCAAGCACAAGUCAUCAUUUGAAAAGCACGAGGACAAGGACCAGUCUCCGCAACUCUACAGGGGGCAAGGGAGAGUUUAAUGACUUUCUCAAUCUCUUAGCCAUGAAGGGAUUGAGAGGCUAAGCUUUAGCACUGAAGUGUUUGCAAAGUGCCAUACCAACAACAACAAAACCCCUAGAGUAUAGCCUAAACAAGCUAACCACUGGAAAGACAAAAUCCACACCAUCUAGCAGUGAUGAGGAGUUGUUCUGUAAGUAGAUCUCAAAUGAAGCCUUAACAUAAAGUGCAUAUUUCCUAAAAGAACCAAAAGAAAACCCAUCUGCAACCUAUAACCCAACCUACAUAAAUAUAAGGGUGAAAACCCACUUAUCUAGGUAAGGGGAAGGGGACCUUCCCUCCCUAGAAUGUAGGGAAAGGCCGUUUGCAGGUGACUCUAAUAGGAGUCUCUCCUCUAAAAGAAAGAACAAUCAAGAGAAAUUUUUCAAUCAAGAGAAAUUUUUUCUAUCAAAAAUCUGAAUAGAAUUCGAGAAUGACUUGUGGUGGCUACUUAUCUUAUAGGGUUUUCAUAGCAUUUUAUUUCUAAUGGAUUUGAGCAAGG
rnacentral:misc_RNA from 1 species